rnacentral:rRNA from 1 species
CCAAUAGCGUAUAUUAAAGUUGUUGCAGUUAAAAAGCUCGUAGUUGAACUUCAGGCCUGGCUGGGCGGUCCGCCUUCCGGGUGAGUACUGCCUGUGGUCGGGUCCUACCUUCUGGCGAAGCGUCAUGGCCUUAACCGGCCGUGGCGGGGAACCAGGGCUUUUACUGUGAAAAAAUUAGAGUGUUCAAAGCAGGCACGCGCUUGAAUACAUUAGCAUGGAAUAAUGGAAUAGGACAGUGGUUCUAUUUGUUGGUUUCUAGGACCGUUGUAAUGAUUAAUAGGGAUAGUUGGGGGCAUUAGUAUUCAAUUGUCAGAGGUGAAAUUCUUGGAUUUAUUGAAGACUAACUACUGCGAAAGCAUUUGCCAAGGAUGUUUUCAUUAAUCAAGAACGAAAGUUAGGGGAUCGAAGACGAUCAGAUACCGUCGUAGUCUUAACCAUAAACUAUGCCGACUAGGAAUCGGGCGAUGUUGACAAAAUGACGCGCUCGGCACCUCAUG